rnacentral:rRNA from 16 species
GUCUCUCGGCAACGGAUAUCUCGGCUCUCGCAUCGAUGAAGAACGUAGCGAAAUGCGAUACCUGGUGUGAAUUGCAGAAUCCCGCGAACCAUCGAGUCUUUGAACGCAAGUUGCGCCCGAGGCCACUCGGCCGAGGGCACGCCUGCCUGGGCGUCA